rnacentral:lncRNA from 1 species
AUAAAAACAAACAACAACAAAAUAUAUAUAGGUGUAUAUGAAAAACACAUAUAGAUUACUUUACCUCUGGGAUGGAAAUUACUCAAUCUAAUAUUAGAAACUGUGGACACUCCUUUCAGCACAGUGUUCUGUGUUAAGAGGUAAGGUAACUGACAAAGCUAUGUCCUAAGGCCAGAGCUUGAGUCUCAGUGGUCUUUUUGAAAUCAGACUCUUUUCCCUCUUUUAGGAACUGGGUUUCCUCUUCCCAAAAUUUCUUUACAGAUACAGGGAAAAUUUAUGCUAUUUCCUAAAGUUGAAAGCUUCACCAAAAUUCUUUAUUAGGAGUGUCUCUAUGAAAUAUGUCAUGAAACAGCCUGAUUAGCAUCACCCCACCACUUUGGAAACUUUUGUUCUGUGACUUUCUGGAGCGAAAUCUCCAUUUUCUCACAGAGAAUAUAACUAAAAAGAAAUGUACAUUUGGCAAUCACAUUUGGAUGAUUCUUCAAGAUUUUCAUCAUUAGCAUUGUAUAUCCUCAUUAAGAACCACAAUAAUUGCCAUCAGUUGAUUCUGCUGUCAGAGUCUGUUGCUUUGAAGAAUAUCAGUGGACUGCAAUUAUUCUUGUCUUAAAAUAUUUACAAACUUUAUUUUUUAAUGAGGGAAGAUACAUGUGUAUAUAUAAAGUAUAUGACUAGCUCUAGUUUGAAUACAUUGUUCUCUUGUAAGUAUUUUCUUUUUUUUUUUUUUUUUAAAGAUUUUACUUUUUGCUUUUUCUCCCCAAAGCCCCCCGGUACAUAGUUGUGUAUUCUUCGUUGUGGGUUCUUCUAGUUGUGGCAUGUGGGACGCUGCCUCAGCGUGGUCUGAUGAGCAGUGCCAUGUCCGCGCCCAGGAUUCGAACUAACGAAACACUGGGCCGCCUGCAGCGGAGCGCGCGAACUUAACCACUCGGCCACGGGGCCAGCCCCCUCUUGUAAGUAUUUUCUUAAGUCACAGCACAAAUUCCCCUGACAUCGAGGAGACAGAAGAGGAGACAGGAAACAGAAGACGAGUGUUCUGUUUCACAAGGACAUGUAAGUUCUACUCUCUUAGCAAAGACAACUCAUGGAUCAAAGAAGAAAUCAAAAGAGAAGUCAGGUUUUUGAACAUCUUCCAGAAGGUUGGAGAAAAGGUGAUGGCAAAAGUGAUGAAUCUAAACAACAUCAUUAUGGAUCCUCAGACAAGACGGCACAAUCUUGAGGAGCAGACGUCAGGCCCAUUUAGAUUCUGUGUAGGCAGGACAGAUUUCAUUGUUAUUCAUCGAACCACCAAAAGUAACUUACCUUUUUCCAGCUACCAAAAAAUAUUGAAGAAAAGGAGUGGAAGAAAAGUGAUUGCUCACCAGCUAUAAGGAAGAGAAGUCAGACAGAGAAGAGACAAUCUUGCACUGUCUUAGAACCUGCUGGAGAAGGUAGAAGAGGACUUAGAAACUUAAAAUCCUUUUCUACCAGAGUAGCUGAGACUUAAUUUAGUCCAACCACCUUUCCCUUGGAGUCAAAUCUAAGUGUUGGAGGACUUUAGAUCCAAGGCAUGGGUGUAGGGUGCACCGGUCUCUGAUUGUCUCAUGUCCAUGUCUGCAUGUGUUGAGCCAUCCAUUACCUGUCCUGGCCUUAAGCAUUGAUCAACCAAGACCACUCUGGGUUUGCUGUCUCCACUAGACACUUCUGUGUGAUGUUUGAGGGAAAUGAAGUAAUUCAGCUUCUUUCUCUACUGCUCUGAGUCAUUGAAAUCUCUCUGCCUGGACACUCUCCAUGAAGCUAGGAAAAGAACAAAGAAUGCAAAGCACGGGAACUCUAGGAUACAUUCCCUGACAUCUACAUUCUCAGCAAUUCCCUGCUAGUUCUCCUCUCUUCUCCAAACCUAGGAAAACUUUUACUAGCUUUGAGAGAUGAGAAUGGAAACUGAAUCUUUGCCUCCUGAAACCUGAGAUUUUUUGACUCAAUAACGGAGCCCUAUGAUGUUUUACUUUGGACUCUGAAAUCAGGAAAAUUGCUUUGUUUCUUUGCACACUGUCAUAUCACUCCUUUGAGGUGAUGAAAAGAGGGGAGAUUAAAAAAAGGAGAAAAUGGCUAAAGUAGGACAUACUAAUUUAUAUUUCAGAAAUUUUAUAUACAUAUUUAGAAUAUAUAUUUUUGUAAAAUAAGAUUAUAUAUCAUGUGCUAUAUAUUUUAAAAGCAG